rnacentral:rRNA from 1 species
UACAGAGGGUGCGAGCGUUAAUCGGAGUGACUGGGCGUAAAGGGCAUGUAGGCGGUUAUAUUAGUCUGAUGUGAAAGACCUAGGCUUAACCUGGGACAUGCAUUGGAAACGGUAUAGCUAGAGUAUGGGAGAGGGAAGUGGAAUUUCCGGUGUAGCGGUGAAAUGCGUAGAGAUCGGAAAGAACACUCGUGGCGAAGGCGGCUUCCUGGCCCAAAACUGACGCUGAGGUGCGAAAGCAUGGGGAGCAAACAGG